rnacentral:rRNA from 1 species
UUGACCUCAAAUCAGGUAGGACUACCCGCUGAACUUAAGCAUAUCAAUAAGCGGAGGAAAAGAAACUAACAAGGAUUCCCUCAGUAACUGCGAGUGAAGUGGGAAAAGCUCAAAUUUGAAAUCUGGCAGUCUUUACACGCUGCCCGAGUUGUAAUCUAAAGAAGUGUUAUCUGUGCUGGACCAUGUAAAAGUCUUCUGGAAUGGAGCAUCAUAGAGGGUGAGAAUCCCGUCUUUGACAUGGACUACCGGUAUGUUUAUGGUACACUCUCAAAGAGUCGAGUUGUUUGGGAAUGCAGCUCAAAAUGGGUGGUAAAUGCCAUCUAAAGCUAAAUAUUGGCGAGAGACCGAUAGCGAACAAGUACCGUGAGGGAAAGAUGAAAAGAACUUUGGAAAGAGAGUUAAACAGUACGUGAAAUUGCUGAAAGGGAAACGCUUGAAGUCAGUCAUGUCGGCUAGAAAUCAGGCUUGCUUCUGCAAGGUGCACUUUCUGGUCGGUAGGUCAGCAUCAAUUUUGACUGUUGGAUAAAGUCAGUGGGAAUGUGGCAUCUUUGGAUGUGUUAUAGCCCAUUGUUGGAUACAGCGGUCAGGAUUGAGGAACUCAGCAUGCCCUCUGGGGCCAGGUUUCGACCAUGUUCAUGCUUAGGAUGCUGGCGUAAUGGCUUUAAUCGACCCGUC